UACGGAGGGUGGCAAGCGUUAUCCGGAUUCACUGGGUUUAAAGGGUGCGUAGGCGGAUAGGUAAGUCCGUGGUGAAAUCCUGCAGCUUAACUGCAGAACUGCCAUGGAUACUAUCUAUCUUGAAUGUCGUGGAGGUUAGCGGAAUAUGUCAUGUAGCGGUGAAAUGCUUAGAGAUGACAUAGAACACCCAAGUUGCGAAGGCAGCUAACUACG
rnacentral:rRNA from 1 species